UACGAAGGGGGCUAGCGUUGCUCGGAAUCACUGGGCGUAAAGGGUGCGUAGGCAGGUCUUUAAGUCAGGGGUGAAAUCCUGGAGCUCAACUCCAGAACUGCCUUUGAUACUGAAGAUCUUGAGUCCGGGAGAGGUGAGUGGAACUCCGAGUGUAGAGGUGAAAUUCGUAGAUAUUCGGAAGAACACCAGUGGCGAAGGCGGCUCACUGGUCCGGUACUGACGCUGAGGUGCGAAAGCGUGGGGAGCAAACAGG
rnacentral:rRNA from 1 species